rnacentral:lncRNA from 1 species
GUUGGGUCAAGUUGGUUCCACUGAUGUCUGAUUGGAUUAGGUAAGGCUGGUUCCAUCGAUAUCUCAUUGCGUUGGGUUGAAAAAUUGUUUCUGGCUCCCUCAAUUAGAAUUUGAUUGAUAUAGGGUCAAAGAAGUUUUUUGAGGGGAAUUUGGAUCAGAGAAGUUGACUUCCAAGCUGAUCAAGUUACCAAGCCUUAGAUGCCAAUCCAAUCAAGAAUGGAAAAUGGGUUUAUCCAAUAUUACCCAACUCAAUUUACUCCGUCCAUACUGGUUGG